UACGGAGGGUGCAAGCAUUGAUCGGAAUUACUGGGCGUAAAGGGCUCGUAGGCGGCCAACUAAGUCAGACGUGAAAUCCCUCGGCUUAACCGGGGAACUGCGUCUGAUACUGGAUGGCUUGAGAUUGGGAGAGGGAUGCGGAAUUCCAGGUGUAGCGGUGAAAUGCGUAGAUAUCUGGAGGAACACCGGUGGCGAAGGCGGCAUCCUGGACCAACACUGACGCUGAGGAGCGAAAGCCAGGGGAGCAAACGGG
rnacentral:rRNA from 1 species